UAGUUUUCUUGAAGGGGACUGCAUCCUAGU
rnacentral:piRNA from 2 species